UUUCCGUAGGUGAACCUGCGGAAGGAUCAUUAUUGUAUAACCGAGAUGCGAGGGCUGUCGCUGACCCGACAGGUCGUGCACACCAGAGUGCCCUCACACACAUCCAUCUCACCCCUAUGUGCACCCCCGCGUGGGUCCCCCUUUGGCUUGUUCGGAGGGGGGCUUACGUUUUCACACAAACUUUGUAUGCAGUGUAGAAUGUAUUUUUUGUUUUUGCGAUCACGCAAUCAAUACAACUUUCAACAACGGAUCUCUUGGCUCUC
rnacentral:misc_RNA from 1 species